rnacentral:rRNA from 1 species
CCUACGGGAGGCAGCAGCUAGGAAUCUUGUCCAAUGGGCGCAAGCCUGAGACAGCAACACCGUGUGAGCGAGGAAGGCCUUCGGGUUGUAAAGCUCUGUUGUUGGGGACGAAGGUCGAAGGGUUAAUAGCCCCUAGACUGACGGUACCCUUCGAGGAAGCCCCGGCUAACUACGUGCCAGCAGCCGCGGUAAUACGUAGGGGGCGAGCGUUGUCCGGAAUUAUUGGGCGUAAAGAGCGUGUAGGCGGUUUGGUAAGUCUGCCGUGAAAGGCCGGGGCUCAACCCCGGACGUGCGGUGGAUACUGCCAGGCUAGAGGGUGGUAGAGGAGAAUGGAAUUCCCGGUGUAGCGGUGAAAUGCGCAGAUAUCGGGAGGAACACCAGUAGCGAAGGCGGUUCUCUGGGCCAUUCCUGACGCUGAGACGCGAAAGCUAGGGGAGCAA